GGUGCUCUGAUGGAGCCUGUGGGAGUGUGGCCUGGGUGCUCUGAUGGAGCCUGUGGGGGUGUGGCCUGGGUGCUCUGAUGGAGCCUGUGGGGGUGUGGCCUGGGUGCUCUGAUGGAGCCUGUGGGGGUGUGGCCUGAGUGCUAUAGACCCAAACAUCACAACAAGAUUCCUUGUGGUGGAUCUGUGAGCAAAGACAGGAAUUUCAUGAGCGUAUUCAGAAGCCUGCCAAGGUAAAAGGUCCCAUCAGACACUGAAGGACAAGCAGACAGCAGCAUGGCAGCUAGGAGACCAAAGACCAAGUCCACCCCCAUUUUCGAGGCACCAUGUGAGCCUAAUGCCCUAGAAUUAUGGGGCGGGUGAGUAAUUAAAGUUUCCUCUGUCUUAGGUUCACGCUAAGCCAUGAGUCUUAUACCAGGAGCCGUUUCUACAGACAGACCACUUAGUUUCUAUUCUGCCCCCCCCCCCAACUUUGCCCAUGUCCCUCCUCUUCUUCCUCUUUGUUCUUCCAAGAAUAUGACAUUAUAUACCAUAAAUCAGUUGUGUCAUCGUGAGCACGGCGUGACAAGGUGGCUUUCUUGCCUGUGUGACACAGGGGGUGGGGUUGAAUUUCUGCCCCAGCUCUACUACCCCAAGGUUUGAUAUCAUCACCCACAGAACAGGAUUGCCAAUGCAAUGACCUGAAGGCUUUUUUUUUUUUUUGGAAUAUUGGUCAUACUCCCAGCAGAAGAAAUGAAAACUGAGAAGGUUUAUCUGCAUCAGCAAGUACAUAAUUUCUUAUAAUUUAUGGUCAGUUGUUUCCUUAAAUGCCUAUCAGUGAAAAUACAGUCAGCAGCAAGGCUGGGGCCAGAUCUUCCUGCAUUGGGACCACAUGACUUCUCUUGGAGACAAAGCAUGUGAAAUUGAUAUUCAGAUCUCCUUGCUUGAGGCUGAAGGAAGGGAAGGCCACAACCUAAAGACGCUUCAUGCUAAGUGAAUAGAGAGACUCCUCCCUGCUAACACACAAGGGUUAGUCUCCACAGGCCGCUUCCAGUCAGGAGUGCACAAGGCUUCAUGGGCUAACAGCCAGCUUCUCUCAGGGACUUUGGGAAAGGGAGCUAUGUGAGAACACACUAUUGAAUGUAACAUUCUAUUACUCACGCAGAUAUAUUGAAGGAGGCUAUUGAGAAGGAAGAAACUAUGGUUUUCCAACCGGGGAAAUCAAUUGCCAGCCAAGACAUCUGCUGUUAUGCAGCCAUCCAAAAGAGAUCACUUCUGGUGUCUUCUGAGGUCCAGUACCCUGCUGAUCCUCAGUGUGUUGAGAAUAGUGGUCCCUUAGAGAACCCUGAACACAGUAUUGAUUUUCUCUGUAACCUCAAAAGCCACAGCAAGACAUUGCUACCACCUGACCAGCUCUGCAGAUACCAACUGGGUGUCUUAAAAUGCAGUUCAGGACAGUUCUGGGAUCUAGCACGCACACAUGACUCACCUCACUUCUGAUGCCAGUGCUGCAUUCAGGCCUCCAGCAUUCUGGAUCAACUUCAGACGACAAAUAGGGACUCCCACAGUCCUACCCCCAAGGUUCAGUAACUUGCUACAAUGGCUCACAGAACUGAGGGAAACAGUGCAGUGCUUCCCCUGGCUUAUUUUAUGGGGCAUGAUAAAGACUACAGAUAAACUGAAAGAACAGACUCUCCAGGAAUGCUGAGGACAGGACCUGCUCUGUGGAAUUGAGCUGCACCACCCUUUGGCUUGUGGGUGUGUUUAUCACCCAGAGAUCUCCAAACUCCACGGUCAAGGGUACGGUUGAUUUAUAACUGUACCUCCUGCCCAACUUCCCUUUUCAGAGAUGGGGCUCCACUGGAAGUGCCAAGUCAUGGCUGGACCUGGAUACUGUGAAGUAUCCAGGUGACCAUCAGGAGGUGCCUCAUUAGAAUAACAGAUGCAGGGCUGGAGAAAUGGCUCAACAAUGAAGAGCACUGGCUGCUCUCCCGGAGGACCCAGGUUUGAUUUCUAGUACCCACAUGGCAGCUCACAACCAGGGUGUUAGGACCUCCGAAUCAGGAACUGAGAACAGAAACCAACUGUCUGCUGCUGCUACAGCUAUGCAGCCUUCUAAGUGAAGGAAAACUACAUACUCAAAAAUCAAGGAUUCCACUCUGAACACUCUUCUCCUCUGCUACACAUUUUCUACUGUAGGAAUUGCUUCCAGUGGACUCUAACAACCAAACUAAAACCUCAAGUCUCCCUCAUCUUCCCUUAGAUCCAAAGAGAUGAGAAAAAUUGUGGUUGAUAUUGGGUUUUUAUGUUAGUUUUGAGUCCACCUAAGUAAGAUUCUGACUAGUCAUUUUUACUUCUUUUCAUUGGCUCCCAGUAAAGUCCUUUUAGCAAAAUAGGGCUUUGGUGAUCUUGUCUUCUCAGUAGUAUGUUAAUAAAUCCCUAAGUCUCACUUAACACUCAGCUGGUUUACCUUUAGGAUGAAACAGAAUUGUUUUCUAUGCAUCCUUUCAGUACUUUAUUGUUUCUUUCUCUCAUUGUUCAUUCAUUCAUUCAAUGAACAUUUCAUUUCACUAAAACUUCAUUGUGACAGGCACUGUCCUAAGAAAAGGUGAGUCUUGAGCUUUCCUCAAGGACUUCACAUAGAACUGCUAGAAAAAUACAGUGCACAUGCAUGUCUAUGUGCAUUAGAAAGCGCCCUCCAUCCUGAUAGACAGAUCUCAGUAGGACUCAGGCUUGGCAAAAGAGAAAAGAGAGGAAUCCAGCCCCUCCUUGCCUCUUUGGCCGGAAGACUUUACGUAGGGUGCAAAGUGAGCAACUCUGUGUUAUGGCCCCAGAUACCCAAGCAGCACAGAACCACCGUGUGGUGAACAUCAAGAAAAGAGCCCACCCGGGAAGACGGAGAACCUGAGGAGGUUUAAUGGCAGAGGUUUCACCUGAGCUGAGAUUGAAGGAGCUUGCCAACUAA